rnacentral:rRNA from 1 species
GUGGGGAAUAUUGGACAAUGGGGGGAACCCUGAUCCAGCCAUGCCGCGUGUGUGAAGAAGGCCUUUUGGUUGUAAAGCACUUUAAGCGAGGAGGAGGCUACCGAGAUUAAUACUCUUGGAUAGUGGACGUUACUCGCAGAAUAAGCACCGGCUAACUCUGUGCCAGCAGCCGCGGUAAUACAGAGGGUGCAAGCGUUAAUCGGAUUUACUGGGCGUAAAGCGCGCGUAGGCGGCUUUUUAAGUCGGAUGUGAAAUCCCCGAGCUUAACUUGGGAAUUGCAUUCGAUACUGGGAAGCUAGAGUAUGGGAGAGGAUGGUAGAAUUCCAGGUGUAGCGGUGAAAUGCGUAGAGAUCUGGAGGAAUACCGAUGGCGAAGGCAGCCAUCUGGCCUAAUACUGACGCUGAGGUACGAAAGCAUGGGGAGCAAACAGGAUUAGAUACCCGAGUAGUCC